GACGAACGCUGGCGGCGUGCUUAACACAUGCAAGUCGAACGGAAAGGCCCUGCUUUUGUGGGGUGCUCGAGUGGCGAACGGGUGAGUAACACGUGAGUAACCUGCCCUUGACUUUGGGAUAACUUCAGGAAACUGGGGCUAAUACCGGAUAGGAGCUCCUGCUGCAUGGUGGGGGUUGGAAAGUUUCGGCGGUUGGGGAUGGACUCGCGGCUUAUCAGCUUGUUGGUGGGGUAGUGGCUUACCAAGGCUUUGACGGGUAGCCGGCCUGAGAGGGUGACCGGCUCCGUGGUGACGGCGAUACGGCCCGCAGCCCUCUGGGGGGGAGGCGGUGGGGUCGUUCCGAACGCGGCGGAGUCCGGAACCAGCACCCCCGGGUGCGGGGGGGCGGCCGUGGGGUUGGAAACAGUUUCCGCCGGUAAAGACGGGUAAGGAGCGGUAAUGGGGAAAGAACCACCGGCUACCUCCUU
rnacentral:rRNA from 1 species